UUUCGUGUGCAGAGGCAGCGUGGAGGGCCGUGGCGGUACUAUCAGGGGUACACUCUCAGGGUCAGUCUCCCAGGGUAGACUCUCAGGGCCAGUCUCCCAGGGUCACCUCCCUGACAACUGAUCAAUCACCCUUGCCCCACCGCAUUCUGCAUAAGCUGUAUUUUCAGCAUCGUUUAUAUGUUCACGGGACUAGCAUCCUUCUGCUGCAGCAGCCACGGGGCGCCCCUAGUACCUAGGGUAGAGAUCCUUGUCGCAAGCAUACGCGCUCCUAGUGUCCUAGGGAGAGGUCCCUGUGACGGCACAUGUACCCGGUGAGGGACUCCAGCAGGAACGCCACCAGGGACACGAGGAGCCCGGCCCCCAGCAACAGCCACGCGCCCUGCACCACACAUCAGGCAGCCCCUGGCCUAACCUUUGGCAUCCCCAUGCCGAAGAAGAUAGCGGUGCCGUAGAAGAGGUUGUUACCGAAGUUGGUGGCCCACGUUGUCUCGUCUUGGAGGAAGUAGUGGGCGAGGCGGGACGCGAGGUACAGGAGCGGCGUCCCCGCCAUCAGGAACGCCAGGUGGACCUACCGUCAUAGUGGUAGACGCCCGAGGCCUCCUGAAUCUGCACUAUGGAGGGAGCGUGCUCGAAGGUCACCGCCCGCAGCUCGUUGCCGUGGAAGUUGUUCAGCUUGUCGGGGAAGAGGUGGGAGGGACGCUGAGUUGAUUCCCGCUGCCAGCGCCCUGCCAGGUACACGACCUCCGCCACGUCCUUCCGGAACACCUGGUGGCUCCAGAGGUGGUAGUCUGUGCCGCGCCUCUUGUCACUCUCCUGCCAGGGGGCAUUGGACAAAAUGAACACCAUGUCUGAUGCAUCACAAUCCAGCCACUGAAUGUUCAGUGUAACCACACUAGAGACCAUUGGCAGACCAUUAAUGCCAUGAAAAAUGGCAAGCACUUGGAAGAACCUGGAAGAUCUUGGUGAUGAAUAUAUUACAGGUAGUUAACCUGAAUAUUAUUCCUAAGAAUAUGAAAUAAACUGCUCUAACAGCAAGAAAAGUGUGACUGAGGAGUGGAGGUGUAGCUGCUGACUAACAUGAUGAUGCACUCACAGCACUCAAAUUUUGAGAUCCAAAAUGACACAUUUGUUGCAACAUCAGAGUCUGGUGAAAAUGUGGUGGGAAAGUGAUCAUUAUAGUGGAGACUAUAUGCUGGUGUUCAUAGUCCAAGGUAAAACCAGCUUCAUUGCAAUAAAUUGUAUGUUGUCCAUUGCAGAAAAUUUGCUUCCACAAUUAAUAAUGUGAAAAUAAGUGAUAGUGUUUUGUACUAAUUGUAGUACUAGUGAUCAUCAUUGAGCACUGAUCAUUGUGCAGGCUCUAUAUCAUGAUCAUGAAGGAGAGAAUGUGUCAAGUAGAACAAAUUUUAUGCCACAAGAAACAAAUUUUGAUGGAGAAAAAGUUAGUUUGUUUUAUUGAGCAUGGAAUCCUGAAUAAUAUCCAUCAUAAGUGAAACAAUCUUCUAUACCAGUAAGGGAAAUCAGAUUGUAUUGAGUAACCCUCACUACCCCAAAUUUGUGGCAUGAUGCAUAUACUCAUGCAAUAGAAGUGAUGUAGUCGUGUGCUCU